GAUGAACGCUGGCUACAGGCUUAACACAUGCAAGUCGAGGGGAAACGACGGGGAAGCUUGCUUCCCCGGGCGUCGACCGGCGCACGGGUGAGUAACGCGUAUCCAACCUGCCUCUGACUGAGGGAUAACCCGUCGAAAGUCGGCCUAAUACCUCAUGGUAUCGUCUGCGGGCAUCCAACGACGAUUAAAGAUUUCAUCGGUCAGGGAUGGGGAUGCGUCUGAUUAGCUUGUUGGCGGGGUAACGGCCCACCAAGGCUACGAUCAGUAGGGGUUCUGAGAGGAAGGUUCCCCACAUUGGAACUGAGACACGGUCCAAACUCCUACGGGAGGCAGCAGUGAGGAAUAUUGGUCAAUGGGCGAGAGCCUGAACCAGCCAAGUAGCGUGCAGGAAGACGGCCCUAUGGGUUGUAAACUGCUUUUAUGCGGGGAUAAAGUGAGGGACGUGUUCCUCAUUGCAGGUACCGCAUGAAUAAGGACCGGCUAAUUCCGUGCCAGCAGCCGCGGUAAUACGGAAGGUCCUGGCGUUAUCCGGAUUUAUUGGGUUUAAAGGGAGCGUAGGCCGUGGAUUAAGCGUGUUGUGAAAUGCAGGUGCUCAACGUCUGCACUGCAGCGCGAACUGGUCCACUUGAGUGUGCGCAACGCAGGCGGAAUUCGUCGUGUAGCGGUAAAAUGCUUAGAUAUGACGAAGAACUCCGAUUGCGAAGGCAGCUUGCGGGAGCACAACUGACGCUGAAGCUCGAAAGUGCGGGUAUCGAACAGG
rnacentral:rRNA from 1 species